rnacentral:rRNA from 1 species
AUGACAACCACCACAAACGGCCACCGACGCGGCGUCUGCUGCGCCGUCUCCGGCCUCGUCUACAACACCGUCGACAAGCUCGUACAAACGCCCUCCGGCGCGGUCCGCCGCGUCGUCUCCGGCCUCGUCUGCGAUGGCGUCGACGAGCUCGUACAAACGCCCUCCGGCGCGGUCCGCCGCGUCGUCUCCGGCCUCGUCUACGACGCCGUCGGCGAGCUCGUCCAAACACCCUCCGGCACGGUCGGCCGCGCCGUCGAGCACGUACAAACAGCCACCGGCGCGGUCCGCCGCGUCGUUUACGGCCCGUCUGCGACGUCCCCACGCACGGCCACCUCCUCCCGCCGGUGUCAAUCGCUCUGCGGCUGGGUUUGCGUUUGUCACGCAUGCAUGCAGGCUCGCGCAUAUCCCACUUGCAUGCAUGUUGAGAACGGAAGGAGAAGAAAGGAAAUUGCUUUGAUUGACGAAUCAAUGUCGAUUAGUGCAUGGCCUAAAGAAGGAAGAACGGAAGGAAAGGAAAGGAAAUUGUUUUGA